AAUACUGUGGAAACAAAGACACCUACAUCUUGGAUACCCUUGAGAGCCUUUUGCAGCAUCCCCAGAUGGGCAGGCAGAGAAAAAAACGUCCAAAAUGUGCAUUGUGGACUCGUUUUCUCAUUAGUUUUAAGAGAAAAUAAAAAUAUAUAUUUAAAAAAAAAA